rnacentral:rRNA from 1 species
UACGAAGGGUGCAAGCGUUACUCGGAAUUACUGGGCGUAAAGCGUGCGUAGGCGGUUUGUUAAGUCUGUCGUGAAAGCCCCGGGCUCAACCUGGGAAUGGCGAUGGAAACUGGCGAGCUAGAGUACGGUAGAGGAGAGUGGAAUUCCCGGUGUAGCAGUGAAAUGCGUAGAGAUCGGGAGGAACAUCAGUUGCGAAGGCGACUACCUGGCCUGUUUCUUGACGCUGAGGCGCGAAAGCUAGGGGAGCAAACGGG